rnacentral:rRNA from 1 species
CGCUUCUUUUUCCACCGGAGCUUGCUCCGCCGGAAAAAGAGGAGUGGCGAACGGGUGAGUAACACGUGGGUAACCUGCCCAUCAGAAGGGGAUAACACUUGGAAACAGGUGCUAAUACCGUAUAACAAUCAAAACCGCAUGGUUUUGAUUUGAAAGGCGCUUUCGGGUGUCGCUGAUGGAUGGACCCGCGGUGCAUUAGCUAGUUGGUGAGGUAACGGCUCACCAAGGCCACGAUGCAUAGCCGACCUGAGAGGGUGAUCGGCCACAUUGGGACUGAGACACGGCCCAAACUCCUACGGGAGGCAGCAGUAGGGAAUCUUCGGCAAUGGACGAAAGUCUGACCGAGCAACGCCGCGUGAGUGAAGAAGGUUUUCGGAUCGUAAAACUCUGUUGUUAGAGAAGAACAAGGAUGAGAGUAACUGUUCAUCCCUUGACGGUAUCUAACCAGAAAGCCACGGCUAACUACGUGCCAGCAGCCGCGGUAAUACGUAGGUGGCAAGCGUUGUCCGGAUUUAUUGGGCGUAAAGCGAGCGCAGGCGGUUUCUUAAGUCUGAUGUGAAAGCCCCCGGCUCAACCGGGGAGGGUCAUUGGAAACUGGGAGACUUGAGUGCAGAAGAGGAGAGUGGAAUUCCAUGUGUAGCGGUGAAAUGCGUAGAUAUAUGGAGGAACACCAGUGGCGAA